AAUUUUAAUAUAACAUAUCCUUUAUCUUAUUAUUAAUAAUUAGUAACCUACUUAAAGUAAAUAACCGAGAAACUUUACAAAACAAAUAUUUUUAUUAAAUCGAGACACCUAUAUACCCAAGAACGGUGACCUAUAAACCUGCCAUUGGGGCUCAUGCAGAGAAGAACAGAACAGUAGAGGUUGCUUUAAAAAAAAUUUGAUCGAGACUACACCAACACGUCAAAUGGCUGAAUCAAACACUCCAUGUUACAACCUGCAAAUAAAUAAUAGUGCCACCUUGGUCCCACAACUGAUUCUGAUAAAGUGCUAAAACCUGAAGGUAGUACAAUAAAACAGUUGUUACAUGUUGCGGUGUAUAAUCAGACACAACAUCAUGCAAUUUUAUAUAGAUUGGUGACUUGAAGCAGUCUUAUUUUGUAUACAAAAUUAAAGUUAUAUAAGAAAUUGAAUAUGAAAUUGAAAUUGAACACCAUUGGCUGUACAGAAGUAAUUGAAAACCUUGAGGUAAAAGCAUUCAAAUAGAAUUACAAUGUUACUGAAUAGAAAAAGUCGCAAUCCAUGCAUUAUAUCAUCAGUUAGCCUUUCUAAAGAAAGGUAAAAAGAACAGAAGAUGAAAAUGCUGAAAUAAUGUCUGAAAAAGGAAUAACGUCAGAAAUAUUACAGAAAAUUAAAAACACUAAAAUGGUCGCCAGUGAUGUGUUUUCAUUAGAUUGGCUUAUGGAACUAUGGCAGAUAGGUAAAAAAAUAAGGAGUAUUAAUUGCAUACAAUACAUACAACAUACAAGGAAGCAUUAGGGUUCGAAACGGGAGGUUGUUGGUUUGUUGACUCUCUAUUUGUAGAUUAUGCAGACGUAGCAAAGGAAACCUAGCCUGGAGCUUCUACAGAAUGAGAGAAACCAAGCCCUAAUUAGUUAUUAUGUUUCCACCUCUCCAAUGGUUUUCCUUCUGAUUACAAUUUAACUUCCUUUUAAAAUCCUUCUUAAUAUCUUAAAUACAUGAAGUCCCCUUACCAUUUAAGGUUCAUAUAAUUUAGUCAAAUCUUUAAUAUUCUUCACCUAUCGCAGAUUCUUUCCCAAAAAAAGCAGUUGUCCCAAAAAGCGAGAACUAUUCUCCCUAAUAAGUUUGAAUGAAGUGACUAUCACUUAAAUGUUGCCAUAUAUGAAACACUGUUGUUCCUAGUUUUAAAAGUUGCGCUGUCCUGGUCUGGCAUUCUAUACUCUAGCCCCGAAUUUCUUACUCCCAAUAAUAUUGCUGACAAAAUAACACUACAUAUUUUUCCCAUACCAGGACAGUAAUGUUACAUGUGCACCAGCAUCAGUUUCAGGUUAGAUUAAAGAAGAGGAUUCUCAUUGUAUGAAAUUCAAAUGGUUCUGAAAGGUUUUAAAGGUUGCAUGCCAGGGAAAAUAGCACUCUUUCGCUUAUCUUUAAUUUAAAGUGAUAAGUUUAGUGAUAAAGCAAAAAAAGUAAUCUAUUUAAUUUAUCAUUAUUUUCCAUAUCGAGAAUUGUAGAAAACAAUCAGAAAUUAAAAUUUUCGAUUAAACUCUGCUUUGCAUUAUCUAGAAAAUUAGCUCUCAGCUCAGAGCCUGUCGUCAUUUAGGAAAUCUAAACAUAAUCCAAUUUAAGUAUAUAUUUUUGUUCCUUCAUUUGUACUGUUAAAUAAAUAUUAUUAUAAUUUAAAGUAUUUUUACUAACCUCAGAUCAGCCUGACCAAUGCAUUAUGCUAAUGAAGUUGUUGCUGAUUUUGAAGAAUUACUUUUUUUAUUGCUUUGUUAAUCUCUUGAUACCGAUCGAGUUGUUCCACCACAUUUCCCAUGAGGUAUAUUUGUAAAUUGCUGUGCUACAAGAGGUUGCAAUAAUUCAGCUUGAUGGCUAAUAUGUUCCUAAAUCUAUAAAGUCGAAAGCGUAGUCAGAAAGAAGAAAAAAAAAAGAUUAUAAAUUACUGAUUUAUAAUCUUUUUUUAAAUUAUAGCAUACCUAAAUUACUUUAGAGAUGUCUGUACUUUAGAGAUAUUCCUAUCUGUUACAAAAUAUAUGCUUUAGAUGUCCUAAAAUUAAUACGCGUCAUCAGUCCCUUUUUCAUUUACCUAUCACAAAAACCAAAUAUGCUCAAAAUACUUUUAUUUUCCGUGCCUGUGAUAAAUAUAAUAAAUGUUUUUCCAAUAUAGAUUUUACAAUGUGUACAAAAAAAAAAUUAAAAAAAGAAAUUAGUA